rnacentral:rRNA from 1 species
AGAUUGAACGCUGGCGGCAGGCCUAACACAUGCAAGUCGAGCGGUAGAGAGGUGCUUGCAUCUCUUGAGAGCGGCGGACGGGUGAGUAAUGCCUAGGAAUCUGCCUAGUGGUGGGGGAUAACGUUCGGAAACGGACGCUAAUACCGCAUACGUCCUACGGGAGAAAGUGGGGGAUCUUCGGACCUCACGCUAUCAGAUGAGCCUAGGUCGGAUUAGCUAGUGGUAGGGUAAAGCCUACCAAGGCUACGAUCCGUAACUGGUCUGAGAGGAUGAUCAGUCACACUGGAACUG